GACGAACGCUGGCGGCGUGCUUAACACAUGCAAGUCGAACGGUAAGGCCUUCGGGUACACGAGUGGCGAACGGGUGAGUAACACGUGGGUGAUCUGCCCUGCACUUUGGGAUAAGCCUGGGAAACUGGGUCUAAUACCGAAUAGGACUGCGAUCUUCAUGGGGUGUGGUGGAAAGCUUUUGCGGUGUGGGAUUGGCCCGCGGCCUAUCAGCUUGUUGGUGGGGUAAUGGCCUACCAAGGCGACGACGGGUAGCCGGCCUGAGAGGGUGACCGGCCACACUGGGACUGAGAUACGGCCCAGACUCCUACGGGAGGCAGCAGUGGGGAAUAUUGCACAAUGGGCGCAAGCCUGAUGCAGCGACGCCGCGUGAGGGAUGACGGCCUUCGGGUUGUAAACCUCUUUCAGUAGGGACGAAGCGCAAGUGACGGUACCUAUAGAAGAAGGACCGGCCAACUACGUGCCAGCAGCCGCCGUAA
rnacentral:rRNA from 1 species